GAUAGCGUGGCCGAGCGGUCUAAGGCGCUGGAUUUAGGCUCCAGUCUCUUCGGAGGCGUGGGUUCGAAUCCGACCGCUGUCA
rnacentral:tRNA from 1 species